GAUGAACGAGGGAGGGGGGAAGAAUACAUGCAAGUCGAGCGAACGGACGAGAAGCUUGCUUCUCUGAUGUUAGCGGCGGACGGGUGAGUAACACGUGGAUAACCUACCUAUAAGACUGGGAUAACUUCGGGAAACCGGAGCUAAUACCGGAUAAUAUUUUGAACCGCAUGGUUCAAAAGUGAAAGACGGUCUUGCUGUCACUUAUAGAUGGAUCCGCGCUACAUUAGCUAGUUGGUAAGGUAACGGCUUACCAAGGCAACGAUGCAUAGCCGACCUGAGAGGGUGAUCGGCCACACUGGAACUGAGACACGGUCCAGACUCCUACGGGAGGCAGCAGUAGGGAAUCUUCCGCAAUGGGCGAAAGCCUGACGGAGCAACGCCGCGUGAGUGAUGAAGGUCUUCGGAUCGUAAAACUCUGUUAUUAGGGAAGAACAUAUGUGUAAGUAACUGUGCACAUCUUGACGGUACCUAAUCAGAAAGCCACGGCUAACUACGUG
rnacentral:rRNA from 1 species